GGCAACGUAGCUCAGUGGUAGAGCGGAGCCCUCAUAAAGCUUAGGUCGCUGGUCCGAUCCCAGCCGUUGCCA
rnacentral:tRNA from 1 species